AGAAUCAACGCUGGCGGCGUGCCUAACACAUGCAAGUCGCACGAGAAAGGGUAGCAAUACCUGAGUAAAGUGGCGCACGGGUGAGUAACACGUGAAUAAUCUACCUCCGAGUGGGGAAUAACUGAGAGAAAUCUUAGCUAAUACCGCAUAACACUUACGAGUCAAAGCAGCAAUGCGCUUGGAGAGGAGUUCGCGGCAGAUUAGUUAGUUGGCGGGGUAAUGGCCCACCAAGACGAUGAUCUGUAUCCGGCCUGAGAGGGCGCACGGACACACUGGAACUGAAACACGGUCCAGACUCCUACGGGAGGCAGCAGUGGGGAAUUUUGCGCAAUGGGGGAAACCCUGACGCAGCAACGCCGCGUGGAGGAUGAAGUAUCUUGGUACGUAAACUCCUUUCGAUUGGGAAGAUAAUGACGGUACCAAUAGAAGAAGCCCCGGCUAACUUCGCGCCAGCAGCCGC
rnacentral:rRNA from 1 species